UUGUCAGUCUCACCAGUGCAAAAAAGAAAGUGAGUUCUAAAAAUUUGAUUGACAAACAGUGAGGUUUGUCAAAGAAUGAUUUUUGCCACUGGCAAUGUUUUUGAUAAAUCUGGGAUGUAAUCGUUUGGAUUUAUUGCUCAACAACCACCAAAAAAGGCACAAGUUCCAGACUGGAUAGAAAACCGCCUGUACAUGCUAGAAAGAUGCCGAAGACACCACUGUGACAGCCGGAGUGUGACCUUUUAGCUGGAGAAGACGCCUCUCAGACUGUGAG